rnacentral:rRNA from 1 species
UACGUAGGGUGCGAGCGUUAAUCGGAAUUACUGGGCGUAAAGCGUGCGCAGGCGGUUUUGUAAGCCAGAUGUGAAAUCCCCGGGCUUAACCUGGGAAUGGCAUUUGGGACUGCAAGGCUCGAGUGCGGCAGAGGAGACUGGAAUUCCUGGUGUAGCAGUGAAAUGCGUAGAUAUCAGGAGGAAUACCGAUGGCGAAGGCAGGUCUCUGGGCUGACGCUGACGCUCAUGCACGAAAGCGUGGGGAGCAAACAGG